UCCAAUGUGGUGUAGUGGCUAACAUUGCUGUCUUUCAUUUACUCCAUAGAGUGGUUGCACAGCAGCCCGGGGUUCGAUUCCCCGCAUUGGAA